CCCGCCGGGAGCCACGCACUGUUUCAUGUUGGGAGGCGGGCUCGUCCCCGGAGACUGCACGUGUUUGUGGUGGCGUGGUGUUCCCGGACCCCUGCUACAGCCCAGCGGUGAAUGCGCAGCAGGAAGCCUGGAAAAGCAAGGUCUUGUUCAUGAGGAACGACUUCAUGUUGAAAGUCAAUGUGUCUCGCAAGAGGUGCAGCAAAGGGGAGCUGGCAAAAAAGGAGAGAGCCGCUAAGAAGCAAAGAAGCGGGCCGAAGGCCUUUUCCCAGGCCAGGGUUCCCACUUUUCUCUCUGACUCCUGGAUAAUUGCUUGAACGUAACCAGGGAGCGUCCGUUUGAUUUCCUGCCUUUUCCAAUAAAUCCUUGCCUUCAGCUGGAGCGCGUUCCUGGUGUCCUCCUCCUCCUCCUCCUGUUGCAUGGAUUUGUAAAUAAAGUUCAUGACUUCUGUCCCAAUGAAUUUUAUUAUUCUAGCGAUUGUGGCUCGCUCGUUCCACUGAAACUUCCCUGCUCUGCCGAGAGUUUGAGACGUCAAAUCCAGGUAAGACUGGAGUUUCUUUGGAUUGCUACUCCCACAAAACACAGGUAAAUCUUGGAGAAGUGUAACGUGACCUGUUUAGUUCUCACUUGCCUUUAAAAUCAGAGCAGAGGAGGCAGAUUUUAAAUCAUCCUUCCAUGAACUUCCACCAACUUCCUGACUGUCGCAAAAGUUUUCGAUGUUAGAAAUUCCCGAGCUUGUUUUCCAGGCGAGCUGGGAUUUGGGUGCUAUUCCUUCCUUUAUUUCAUGGUUUUCCUAUCUCUGAUUUUAGUGAGGGGAUAUUAAUCGCAAAUGCUGAUUUUCCAUCCCAGUUGGAAUUUUUGUACAUCUUAGGGCAUAUUUGCAAGGAAAUUUUCCAGAAGAGUGUCGCUAAACGGGCAUUGUGGAGCACCGUACCUGCAGAAUGCUGUAAAUUCCCAGGAAAACUUGCUGCGUGUUUAAUUGCCAUCAUGAAUCUCUCUGUAAAGUCAAAUUUACUGCAUUUUUAAUGCCAUGAAUCCCAUUACAACCUCAAUCCUGGCCGAAUUGCUGUUCCCUGGACACAAUGGGGUGGUUCUUUCCUGCCUUGGCACAUUUGGAUGUUCAUCCCAAGUGAGUUUCCCUCUGAAAGAGAAUUUGUUUCCAAGCAAAACUGGGAAUUGUCUCAAAACCUUCUUGUCUGGGAGGCACUGGGUUUGUUUUCCCCAUCCCUGUGUAGUGCAGGAUCCUCCCGGAGCUGUGUUAGGCAGUGGCAGGAGAGGAGAGCUGCAUUUAUUUUUGUAUUACUAUUUAUUUUAUUUUUUACUUUUUUACUUUUAUAAUUUUAUUUUCUUGAGUUUUAUUUUUUCAUAGAAGUUUUUGUUUUGAACUUUUAAAAAG